AGAGCAAGAGUAUAGUGGUCUAUGAAUCAAGAAGUGGUGCCUUGAUCUUGGACUUCUCAGCCUUCAGAACUAAUGCUGUUUUCAUGCUCUGUGUUCCUCCACUGGAUUAAUCUAAUGCAUCCAAAGCAUAAAAAAAAAGGAUCCUGUUCCCUGUUCCCAGGGAAACUGGGCAGUGCUUCCAGAAGACAUGAAGAAACAAACCUGCGGCAGGUUUUACUCUGGACUUGGACAAGAUCGUGUUUCAAGUCAAGGUGAACCCCAGAAACUAAGAAAGUCAAUCCACUCAAGGGAAAAUGCUCAACUUGGGGGGAGAUAAAGUUCAUUUCUUCUGUGAUUUGAGUUUUUCCCUUGCAAAUAAAAAUCACAUUCAUUCGAAAUCAAAGACAUUGAAUUAGCUGUAUAAGAAGUCAUGGAUAAUUUAUUAAAGGUAUAGAAUCAUACA